rnacentral:rRNA from 1 species
GANUACGNCCGCAAGGUUAAAACUCAAAGGAAUUGACGGGUCCCCNCANNAGCAGCGGAGCGUGUGGUUUANUUCGUUGCUACACGAAGAACCNUACCUGGGUUUGACAUAGCAGUGGUAGGGAAGAGAAAUCGGACCGACCCUUCGGGGAGCUGUUACAGGUGUUGCAUGGCUGUCGUCAGCUCGUGUCGUGAGAUGUUCGGUUAAGUCCGCUAACGAGCGCAACCCGCGUUGUGUGUUAUAUGUGUCACACAAUACCGCCGGUAUUAAGCCGGAGGAAGGUGCGGAUGACGUCAAGUCAGCAUGACCUUUAUAUCCAGGGCUACACACACGCUACAAUGGACAGUACAACAGGUUGCCAAGCCGCGAGGCGGAGCCAAUCCUCUAAAGCUGUCCUCAGUUCAGAUUGCAGGCUGCAACUCGCCUGCAUGAAGUUGGAGUUGCUAGUAACCGCAGGUCAGCUAUACUGCGGUGAAUACGUUCCCGGGGAUUGUACACACCGCCCGUCAAGUCAUGGAAGCUGGCAACACCUGAAGCCGGUAUCCUAACCCGUAAGGGAGGGAGCUGUCAAAGGUGGGGUUGGUGACUGGGACUAAGUCGUAACAAGGUAGGUGUACCGGAAGGUGCGGCUGGAUCACCUCCUU